CCUACGGGUGGCAGCAGUGGGGAAUAUUGCACAAUGGGGGAAACCCUGAUGCAGCGACGCCGCGUGAGUGAAGAAGUAUUUCGGUAUGUAAAGCUCUAUCAGCAGGGAAGAAAAUGACGGUGCCUGACUAAGAAGCCCCGGCUAACUACGUGCCAGCAGCCGCGGUAAUACGUAGGGGCAAGCGUUAUCCGGAUUUACUGGGUGUAAAGGGAGCGUAGACGGCGGAACAAGUCAGAAGUGAAAACCCGGGGCGCAACCCUGGGAGUGCUUUUGAAACUGUUUGGCUGGAGUGCAGGAGAGGUAAGCGGAAUUACUAGUGUAGCGGUGCAAUGCGUAGAUAUUAGGAGGAACACCAGUGGCGAAGGCGGCUUACUGGACUGUAACUGACGUUGAGGCUCGAAAGCGUGGGGAGCAAACAGGAUUAGAUACCCGGGUAGUC
rnacentral:rRNA from 1 species